rnacentral:rRNA from 1 species
UACGUAGGGUGCAAGCGUUGUUCGGAAUCAUUGGGCGUAAAGAGCGUGUAGGCGGCUCGAUAAGUCGGCUGUGAAAGUCCAGGGCUCAACCCUGGAAUGCCGGUGGAUACUGUCGGGCUCGAAUCCGGAAGAGGUGAGUGGAAUUCCUGGUGUAGCGGUGAAAUGCGCAGAUAUCAGGAGGAACACCGGUGGCGAAGGCGGGUCUCUGGGCAAUAACUGACGCUGAGGAGCGAAAGCGUGGGGAGCGAACAGG